ACUCCAAAAUCAAUCACUCCCUUACAUACCUUCACACAUAGACCCAAAUUUGCAAUCAACUAAGAAAUGGCAUUCUCAAAGAAUCUUCUUCUUGUUAGCCUUCUGUUUGCUGUUCUCUUCAUCUCUUCUGAGGUCGUCUCAGCUCAUCGUCACCUAGCUGAGACUACUACUAGUGGUGAAAAAUUCAAACACUGAUGUUAACGAUCAUGGACAUGGUGGCCACGGAGGGCAUGGAGGACACGGAGGACAUGGAGGUCGUGGUGGCCAUGGAGAAAAUUCAAACACUGAUGGUUUCCAUGGCAACGAUCAUGGACAUGGUGGCCACGGAAAUGGAGGACACGGAGGACGUGGUGGCCAUGGAGCCACUGCUCAUGAGACUGAAACCAAAAAUUAGAUAACUCUGUGGUGGCCAUGGAGCCACUGCAUGCAGCUGUGGGUGUGCCUGGUGGCAGAGAGAGUAUCAGACUAUCUGUUACUGUAGCUUGUUUUCUGUAUCAAUAAAUUUGUAUUGGUUGAGUAGUCGAUGAACUCUCAAUCAUAUACGAAGUCUCUUUUUCAAGGUUUAUCUCUGUAAUUCCUCGGAUUAUCGAUCUCCGUGUUAUGUACUAUCUAUAAUCAACUGCUUCAUGACUAAAAGUUGUUAAUCAACUCAUAUAUUAUACGUACGUACGCGCAUGAAAUAAGCUACGAUAUAUCCCUGUAUAUACGUCCAUGCAGCGUCCUCAAUAACAGAAAUAAGA